GGGCAAGAGGGUACCAGGAAUUGGAUAAGAAGAUGCUACAAUUUUUUUUUGCAUUUUUCUGUGGUUAUGGUCCAAAUGCAUGAAUAAGCAACGGUGACAUGUCUGAACUAGUUUCGAUUGCAUCCUCUUUUGCUUUGCCCCAAAUCGCAAUGUAGAACCCCACGCUCAUAUGAUCCCUCCAAUGGCACUGCAAUUUCACAUGUUCAUGCCAUGGAAUCGACAUUCAACACCUAUACGCCUAUUACGAUACAGAGAUUCCAACAUCGAAGAACUCUUGGAUCAAGGACCAGACAGUUCUUCAGAUCCGGUUCUACUAAAACAAUUUGGAACUUUCGGAAAUAGGGAAACCGAUUUAUAUUCAUUUUCUACUCAAUCCACGUGAAUGUUUUCAAGAACCUGUAUGGCAACUUUGUGUUGCCUGUACCAUUUUCUGAAAUGUAGACAAAUGUGAAGGAAUCCAUCUUGGGUAUA